UCCACGUGCUCACCUACUUCUCCGAAUACAAUUAGAUGAAACGUAAUAUAUAUUUAAGAACGCAUAUACUUAUGAGUAACACUUGAAAGACAUAUUCAUUAAAUAUAUAUAUCCUUUUUGGUGGUGUUUGGUUCGCGAGAAAGUUACAGUGGUGGAAUUUUUGUAUUCAUCAUCGGAAUGAAGACGGCGUGUGUGGUCGGAGGGAAUGGUUUCGUGGCUUCUUUUCUUGUCAAACUAUUGCUUGAGAAGGGCUACGAUGUCAACACAACUGUUAGGGACCCUGAUAUCUGUUUCUCGAGGGUGGUUGAAUAGUCAAAAGACCUGGGAAAAUAUCACUAAACAAUGUGAGGAAUGCAGAAGAAUAGGGGUGGACAAAAAAUUCGCGAAUCCGCAAACUCGAUCUAAUCCGAUCCGUGCAGAUUGGAUCGGAUUACCAGACUCACGGAUCGGUGACGGAUUCAAAAAAAUUGAAUCCGUAGUUCACGAAUCGGAUCACGGAUUAGGUUAUCAAAAAUCCGAUCCGAUCUGUGACCAAUCCGUAAAAUAUAUAUAUAUAUAUAUAUAUAUAGUAAUAAUAUAGCUUACUUUUUUUAUUUUCUUGUUUUGGUAAGUAUUAACUGUAUUAUACAUAUUACACAGCACUGACUUUUCAGUUUUCAGUUCAUAAAAGAUAAAACCUAAACUUAGCUAAAGAAUCCAUCUAACACUCUCACUAUUGAUCUGUUGCGGCCGUCACACACUCUCACUACUCUUCUUCAGUUCAGUUUUUCUGAUCUGUUGCCGUCUCCUUCACCAAAUCAAAACCUAACCAUCGAUCCUCUCUUUUUCUGAUUGCUGCCGUCUCCUUCUCUCCUUCUGAUCUGCUGUAAAAUCUUCUGUUUGAUUUAAUCUUUUUCUAGUACGGAAGUAGAGUUUGUUUGCAGAAAUUUUACUGCUAUUUCAGUAUUUUGGUACUUUUGUUUUUAGUAGAUUAGAUUUUUGUUUGAGGUCGAUUAAGUCGUUUUGGAUGAUAUAUUUUUGAAUCUUGUGUUAUGAUGAUCUAUCUAUUGGUUUUGCUCAAUUGUCAUAUAUAUAUAUAUAUAUAUAUAUAUAUAUAUAUAUAUAUUAUCAAGUAUCCUGUAUCUCACAAUCUUUUUUAAUUUUUUAAUUAUUGCACUUAGUUAAUUUGGAAAAUCGAGUCCGCGGAUUGGAUCCGAUCCGUCAUUUCACGGAUCCGAUCCAUGGACUAACGGAUUAGUGGCGGAUUCAAAAUCUCCUAAUCCAUUGCGAGUAGAUCGGAUUAGGAUUGAUGCCUAAUCCGAUCUGAUUCGAUCCGUGGCCAACCAUACAGAAGAGUGGAAGAAGGGAGAGAAAACCAGUCUAGUAAGAGAAUUGGAGCAAUGGUAGGAAGAUGUUGCCAUCAGUUCCUAAGCCUUCUGCCCUUUGUCACUGCCUUUUUUAUAGCUUUAGGUCACUCGGGUGAUAUUUGUUGGGUCUCCAGAUCGAAAAUGGGUCAGGGCCCAUUGGAAGCAUGGUGCAAUUUAGUGAUCUCUUAAGCUUUCUAGAAGAUUCAUGAGGUGAGCGUUAGGUCAAUGACUCCCAAAUCGGACGGCUUUAGGGUAUUAGGUGUAGAGACACCCCUAAGGACUUACAAGUUCAAAUCAAUUAGGCUACAAAUCAAAACGAUUUCCAUCUAAUCAUUUUCUACUCUUCACCUUUGGUAAGAAGUCCUCACUUUUUAUUUUUAUUUUUUAUUUAACCUAGAGUUUGGGCCCUCCACCUUUCGGCGCAAGAAAUUCAAUGCUUGAUGAGGCUAGAAUCCCGGUUACUUAGUGAAAAGGGUUUGUUAUCCACCUUUAUCAAGAAUGAAAACUUUUAAAGCAUUACUAGCUCAAUUGGGAUAUAACUAAAUCAAUAAUCAACAAAACAUGUACCCCACAAAUGAAUGCUAGUGUGCGCCUGUCCUAGUUUAGAAUCCUAGAGUGAAUCUCAAAACAAUCACAAGAUCAAGACAAUGUGGACCACAAAAGUAAGCAUAAUAUCAAUCUUUCGAAAAAUUUACUCCUAAAUGGUAUCCACAAGGCAUACAAGGAGUAUUAAACUCUUAAGUCAAGUAAUUUUUUAAUUCUAAGUAUCAUGGCCUUCAAAAGAUCAACGUCAUAGCUAAAACUCUCAAAUCAUACCACAUGCAUAGAAAAUUAGUAUGACAUGCCAAUAUAUGCUAGCACACCCCCAAACUUAAUCAGUGCAUUGUCCUCAAUGUCCAAACAUGGCAAUAAAUAAUGGAAAGAGUAUACCAAAUGGGUGUAGCAAAUAUGACCCGAAAACGGAAGCUUAGCAUUGGAAGGCGCACCACCAAACUUAGAUUCCAAAAACCUGUCUGAAAAUGUCACACUAGCAAUUGUCAAAGCAUAUGCAUCGAUAAUCUAAAUAAGAGGUGAAAUGGAGAACUGGGCAUAAAUCCAUGGCAUAUAGCAAUAUAAAGCUCAGAUUAUCCAAAACCAAAAUCAAGAAUGGCAAAAUCUCAAAAAUCCAUGUAUGCAAAUAAAUCCAAAAUCAAUAUCUAAAAACCAUGUGUAUCAAAUGUAGUGCAAAAUAAUAUCCAAAAAUAUCAAUGUAAAUAUCUUAAAAUAGUGCAAAAAUAUCCCAGAAAUAGCAGUGUAGCAAAAGUGUAUCAGGGCAAGGAAUAAGUAAUAGAGAUAGAGAGAAUGCUGAAAUCAAGGAGAAGCAUCCGACACAAGCAUAUCUGUAAUGACUUAGAGCAUAUCUGACAUCUCUCGGCAUGUCGAGUAAAAGAUGUCUGAAUGUCUGUCCGCAAAUCAGAAAUGUCUCUCCUCACAUUAGCUACAACCCUCACCAGAUUGUCAAAUUGCCUGACUAAGUCAUCAUGCCGCUUCGCCAAAUUAUCAUGCCGCACUGUCAUGUUAGCUUUGAAAGAAGUAAAAUCUGAAUGUAGCUGAGUCAUGUCAGCUCUGCAGCUGGAAUCUCAACUGGCAUGAUGGGAGGAAUGUCGCUUGGGGCAUCGGCUCUGUAGAAGGGACAUGUGAGGGGCCGGCCUGCUGAGAUGGAUGGGGAGGAAGAGGUGGACCCGGCUGCGACGUAGAUGUGGAAGCAGUAGUAUGAUGCUUCUGUCUGGGUUGGAAGGAAGAAGGUAAUCCCUGAGAUCCCUCGUCUGCCUCCUCCUCUGCUCUCUGCUGAGUUCCCUGCCUCUUAUGCUCUCUAUUAUUUCUGUUCUUUAAGCAAACAUUACAAGUCUUGGUCUAUUGCCUCUUGUCAUACACCCUUUUCUCUUUCUGCUCUGUAGACUCUGCAAUCUCAGCUGGGUCAAAGGAAUAACCCUGGUCAAUCAAUAUCUGUGUGAUAAGAUGGCCAAAUGGUAAAGGCCAAGUAUCAGCUCUGGAAUUGUGCUUGAAGAUCAUAUUGUCCCAGUACUUGUGACUAAUCUCCCAGAUGAGAGCAUGAAUAGAUAUUUAGCAGCCCUGGCUCAAAUAGUAGAGAACCUUUAGCAUCCCCUCUUGCCUCUGUAUACCAUGGCCUGAAGGGAAGGCAUUGAGAUGCAACACAGAAUCUAAGAACCAGUAGCGGGGAUCAAUAUCAACUUGGUCUGUAAAUAUAUUGCCCUCGUAGACAGCUUGUGGAGAGAGUGUAGCAACCAUGGUCAUCUCAGCAGGGUAAGUUGUAAUGAUCAGAUACUGUUGAUCCUCAGAGUCAGUGACCACUAGUGAGAGAUGGGGGCAUCUACAGGCGGCAGCAAUGGCAGGGACGAAUAUAUCAAUAUCCUGACCAUUUAUAGUCGUGUGCAUCAGCUCUCGGUUAUUUUCAUCCAACCGGAGGUGCUGGAAGAACAAAGCAACCAACUGGGGAUAAACAGUAGUGUUUGCCGGGGUCAUGAUAGUAUCUAUGCCCCUACGGGUGAGCUCUGCAAAUGACUACGCUGUUUGCUCUAACCCCAAAAAAUAGCUCUCUGUCAAAUCUGAAUUCCAACUCUAAUUUCCUGUCGGAGAAAAAGAUAGUAGGCACUGCUCUGACAAUGGGACCCUGUGCCUCCAUGAAAGAUGGCUCUGAUAACGAAGAUGACUCCUCUGUUGGAGAUGGAGUAGGUUGUGUAGCUUUGGUUACUCUCUUUUUAGCUAGAGUCUUUUGCCUAUGCUGCAUCUGUAAAAACAACAAAUAUAAAUCAGUGCACAGGUACAAAAUGAGGUAAGUAUCUAAUAAGAAAACACAAAACAUGCCUGAAUCAAGUAGAAACAGAAAAGAGACAUGUAAGAACAUACUUGUGCAAGAUGUGAUCAAGAUAGUUUCAAGAAUAUCAUUUAAUAUACUUCAACAAGACAAUAAUAGAUCAUGGCACAACAAGCAGUCUCAGAUACGCAAAAUAAUGCAAUGAUAACAUAGAGGGCAGAAAAGUCACUUUUGGAAGCAUCAAGCAAAAAUGAGAUCAAAAUGACAAGUAUAGGAUGUGAUGUGCAUAAAGGAUGCAACGUGCGUUCAUAAACCUAAAACUCAAGAAGAUUCUGUAAUUUCAUGGCAAGUAGACCCUAGGAUGACAUCAUACCAAUUCCUAAGCAAGAAUGUCUAUAAAUUCAACAUUUAAGACCAAUGGAACUAGCAUGAUGACAUGGAGAAUGUAAUCAUGGCAACUGUCUACCUAGAACUCAAGAAGCAUGUAUAUCAUGAAAUAAAGACUAACUGGGUUGCACGGUUGCAAAACACUUCAAUCCUAGGCAUGUUAUGAUACACAAGUUCAAAAAUGAAUCAUGGACAUGGUAUGCAACUAGAUGGCAUGUAUAUGAAUGAUGCACAAAUAACAAAGUCAAAUUCCAGUCACAGAAAUAUCCCGUACUCCAUAUCAACAAAAUCAACAUCCUAUGAUCACUCAUGACUCGUGACCCCCUCUAAGCAAUAUAUAAGUAGAAAAUUGAUUGCUUAUGGCUCGCGACCCCCUUUAAAGCUUAAAUAAAGUAAAGAAUGGUCAAAGACUGAGAAUAACAAAAAACUUACCCUUUUCUAAAUCAAAAUCAUGACCGGUAAAGAACCUCGGUCUCAAGCCCUUACUAGCUUCCAAAAAUAGAUCACAAGUGUAUAGAAUCAAGCAAAUGGCAUUUUAAAGAUCGACUUUGCAAGAUAAGACAACAUACCCCCAAACUUACUUCAAAUAACAGUUUAAAACUCAAGUUAUGCUCACAAAUAGGUACUAAGGCCAAAGAAUAACAAUGAUAUCCCAAACAUGAAUUUUUUUGAACUCUAAACAUUCAUUUCCCUCCUCAAAACUUAUUCAAAGAUCAAUGCCAUAAAGAUCUAUUCAAAAGAUGCACACAAACAUUUUAAAAACCAUCAAUGUGACAAAAGUGUGCAAAAUGUGUAUAUACAAGCAACGAGUUGCAAAUUAUUCCAAAAUACACACAAUUAUUCAUUUGACAAUUUUUCAAGCUUAUUAAACAAUAUUGGAACAUUUGACUUCAAAACGUUUGGUUUAGAAGGUCAAUUCAAUACAUUUUUCAAGAAAGUUCAAAAUUCAUGACAAAUGGAGUCAAAAGAUAUCAAACCUAUGCCCUAGCAUGGCAAGAAUCAAGAAUGGAGCACAAACAAGUUCAAUAGCACUUAGCACAUGCAUUUGGAUGGAGAGAAAACAAAUAGAACAAGUUUCAACUCAUUUAAGGGCAUUUUGGUCAACUUUGGAAAUUUUCAACACUUUUGGGGCAAAUUUGGAAUUUUUAAAAACUUUGAGGUCAAACAUUCAAAUGCAUUAUAGAUAAACAUCAUAACAAGAAUCAUGCAUUGAAUAUUCAACAAAGAAAGGAAUUAAACAACUCGACUUCGCAUUUUCAAAACAAAGUUCAAAAACUCAUUUUUAUUUUUUUGAAACCAACAAGUGUGAUCACAAAGGCAUUUUAAGCAUUCAAAAAUUAUUUUGCCAAAACAAAGCAUCUUAACCAUGAGCAAUCAACAAUUUAAGAUCAAACUUGCAAAGAGAUUCCAUUUGAAACAUAUUUAUUCAUUUUAUCAUGACUUUGCAUUUUCAAGUUUCAGAAGCACAAGUUUCAACUCAAGUCAUGCUUUUAUGCAUUUAAAACAACUUAGAAACAAACAAAAUCCAUGCAUUUCAUACUCAAUACGAACAAAUGAAACAAGUUGAGAAUCAUGCUCAUCAAUAUUCAAUUUCAUAUGCCAUUGCAAUUCAAAAUUUCCAAGAAAAUUUUCAAGUCCAAAAAGUUUACAAUUUUAAUUCAAUUCUUUCAAAAUCAAAACAAUUUUGACAAUCAUGCCUUUAUUUCAAAUUAUUAAGCAAACAUUCCAAUUCAUACUUCAAAAUUCAAUGGCAACUAACUUUAAAUUCCAUUCACAAAUUGAAAUCUCAAAACAACUUCCCAAAAAUUAUAUUUUUCUUCUUCAAUUCAAUUCAACAUUUGAAUUUUAAAUUCCUUUCCCAAUUCACAUUUCAAUUCUAGUGACAAAAAUAAACCAAGUGCUAUUAAAGAAUUUAAAACCAAAAUCUAAAUCUAUUUUUGCAAAAUUUUGGCAUUAAUUCCCUUUAAAAUAUGCAUUCCACAAAAAAAAAAAAAAAAAAAAAAAAUCAACAAA